rnacentral:sRNA from 1 species
UAAAGCGAACUUCUCAUUUGCUAUUUCGGGAAUGACCUGUUAAGCUAGGUACUAAUGUAUUUACUACUUCGAAAUUUUGGUACGACGUUCGUGAGAAUGACAUCCCCGAUUUCAAAAGUCUUCAAAUGCACAAAUAUAUUGCGCUAUGCGCACGGAGGUUUCAUUCUUAUGGAACAAGGUACUGUUAAAUGGUUCAACGGCGACAAAGGUUUUGGUUUUAUCACUCUUGAAAACGGCUCAGACGUUUUCGUACACUUCUCAGCUAUCAAUGCUGAAGGUUACAAGACGCUUGAAGAAGGCCAAAAAGUGACCUUAGACGUUGAACAAGGCGACCGCGGCCCACAAGCAGCCAACGUUACUGUUGCUUAAUUAAAACUAACUUUUAGAAAAAGACCGCCUCGGCGGUCUUUUUUUC